UGGGGAAUAUUGGACAAUGGGCGAAAGCCUGAUCCAGCCAUGCCGCGUGUGUGAAGAAGGCCUUUUGGUUGUAAAGCACUUUAAGCGAGGAGGAGGCUACUUAGAUUAAUACUCAAGGAUAGUGGACGUUACUCGCAGAAUAAGCACCGGCUAACUCUGUGCCAGCAGCCGCGGUAAUACAGAGGGUGCGAGCGUUAAUCGGAUUUACUGGGCGUAAAGCGUGCGUAGGCGGCUUCUUAAGUCGGAUGUGAAAUCCCUGAGCUUAACUUAGGAAUUGCAUUCGAUACUGGGAAGCUAGAGUAUGGGAGAGGAUGGUAGAAUUCCAGGUGUAGCGGUGAAAUGCGUAGAGAUCUGGAGGAAUACCGAUGGCGAAGGCAGCCAUCUGGCCUAAUACUGACGCUGAGGUACGAAAGCAUGGGGAGCAAACAGG
rnacentral:rRNA from 1 species